GGGUGAUGCUCAAAAAGGAGAUCGUGGAGAGAAAGGGGAAGAGGGAGAUUCUGGCUACAAGGGAGACAAGGGUGAAAGAGGAGAAUGUGGACCCCCAGGACCAAAAGGAGAAAUAGGUUUGCAGG